rnacentral:misc_RNA from 1 species
UUUCCGUAGGUGAACCUGCGGAAGGAUCAUUAUUGUAUAACCGAGGUGCGAGGGCUGUCGCUGACCCGAAAGGUCGUGCACGCCCGAGUGCCCUCACACACAUCCAUCUCACCCCUAUGUGCACCACCGCGUGGGUCCCCCUUUGGCUUGUUCGGAGGGGGGCUUACGUCUUCACACAAACUCUGUAUGCAGUGUAGAAUGUAUUUUUUGUUUUUGCGAUCACGCAAUCAAUACAACUUUCAACAACGGAUCUCUUGGCUCUC